GCGCCCGUAGCUCAACUGGACAGAGUGUAUGGUUACGGCCCAUGAGGUUGCGGGUUCGACUCCUGCCGGGCGCGCCA
rnacentral:tRNA from 1 species